rnacentral:tRNA from 1 species
GUCUAGGGAGCUUUGGGAGAGUGUCAGUUUUGUAAGCUGGAGGGGGAAGAUUUAAGUUUUUUUCUAGAUU